CUAUCAUUGGUGUCCUUCCUUAUAAGGUCUUUCAGCUACUCAUGAAGUUAUAUCCUUAACGGAUCCAUCAAAGAGAGGCUUAGCCAUUUUGUGUUAAAUAAGAGUAAAAAUAUCAAACAAAUGCAACUCUAAAGAUCUUAUUAAUCAAUCUUAUUAAUUUUCAUGUUAGCCAAACUGUCAGUUUUGAAGACCGUUAAAAAACUUUGCAAGCAGUGAGUUCUGGAGGGGAAAAUGGACAACAAAACAAAUAAAACAACCAUCAAAUAAGAGAGCAGAACAAACAGGCAUCAUUACAAAGAAAAGAAAGGAAGUCUAUACAAAGAAAGGAGGUUGUCAUUGAGAGUUUAGCACUAAUUAUUAGUGAUCAAAAUAAUUUCCAUUUGGGAGUUCCUGUUGUGGUGCAGUGGAAACGAAUCUGACUAAUAUCCAUGAGGAUACGGGUUUGAUCCCUGGCCUCGAUCGGGGAUCUGGCGUUGCUGUGAGCUGUGGUGUAGGCUGGCAGCUGCAGCUUGAAUUUGACCCCUAGCCUGGGAACUUCCAUAUGCCAUGGGUGUGGCCCAAAAAGACAAAAAAAUAGUGAUAAUUGCCAUUGAAUGCUCAUACUGUUUGCAAGACUCAUUUUCUCAUCUUUCAUUCAGUACAUAUUGAGCACUUGAACCAUUUGCUCUGUGCCAGGUGUGAGCAUGGAAGAUGUAGGGCUGAGGAUACUCUGCAAUCCCCAGGGAUUGGUGAACUGCAAGGCCUAGAGGAAAAUUGACUAGAGAUGGUGAGGAGACCCAAAGAGCACCAUAUCAAGAGUAGCUGAUGUUUAGUACUUUGGAGAGAUUCUGAGGGAUGAUGUGCUCACUUUCUUCAGUUCAGUGAGGAAUAUCAUCUGUACGAUUGAGCAGGCAAAACUCGGUUGAGUGGAUAUGUCAGAGGAAAACAUACUUUUAUUUAAUCAAAAGAUUGGCUACCUCUAGUACCUGAGAUAGUUCCAGAAGCUUGGUACCACGAGGCAGGAAAGUGACACAGGGGAUUCAUAAGUGAAAUGGUGAGAGGCUGAAGAUGGAGGGUUGGUGAUUAACUCAUCUCUGAAGACAAACCUUCCCUGAUCUGUUAUUGAGAGACAGUUGAAUUGGGAAUGGCUCCUCUGAGGACUCUUGGACCUUGACCAAAUUUCUUAUCUCUGAGUCUUAUUUCCUACAUCAGAGGAAUAGGGAUAUAUCUCAUAGGACUGUGGUGAGAAAUGAGUUGAAUAAUGAGUGUAGAUGAACAAAUUUUAAAUGUUCAGCCUAAAAUAGGCAUUCAGUAAACAAUACUGUUAUUAUGGGGACCUAGAAGCUCAUCUUGAGAAACACUUGGACUGCCUUAAACAAUCCAGGAAGUUAAAAUGAUGCCCAUUAAUGUAGAAUGUCCUUCCCACCCCAUCCUGGCAUUUGAAAAAAACAAAAUCUUUCUAAAAUGUGCAGUGAGGAGUUCCCAUCAUGGCACAGUGGUUAACGAAUCCAACUAGGAUUGCAAGUUCAAUCCCUGGCCUUGCUCAGUGGGUUAAGGAUCCGGCGUUGCCAUGAGCUGCAGUGUAGGUCGCAGAUGCGGCUCAGAUCCGGCAUUGCUGUGGCCCUGGCAUAGGCCGGUGGCUACAGCUCCAAUUCGACCCCUAGCCUGGGAACCUCCAUGUGCCAUGGGAAGCAGCCCUAGAAAAAGGCAAAAAGACAUAAAUAAAUAAAUAAAUAAAUAAAUAAAUAAAUAAAAUGUGCAGUGAGCAAUAAAGUUCCCAUCAUGGCUCGAUGGAAACUAAUCUAUUAUCCAUGAGGAUGCAGGUUCAGUCCCUGGCCUUACUCAGUGGGUUAAGGAUCUGGCAUUGCUGUGAGCUGUGGUGUAGGUUGCAGACGUGGCUUGGAUCCUGCAUUGCUGUGGCUGUGGUAUAGGCCUGCAGGUGCAGCUCUGAUUCGACCCAUAGCCUGGGAACCUCCAUAU
rnacentral:lncRNA from 1 species